rnacentral:rRNA from 1 species
UACGUAGGGUGCAAGCGUUGUCCGGAAUUAUUGGGCGUAAAGAGCUUGUAGGCGGUUUGUCGCGUCUGCUGUGAAAAUCCGGGGCUCAACCCCGGACUUGCAGUGGGUACGGGCAGACUAGAGUGUGGUAGGGGAGACUGGAAUUCCUGGUGUAGCGGGUGAAAUGCGCAGAUAUCAGGAGGAACACCGAUGGCGAAGGCAGGUCUCUGGGC